rnacentral:rRNA from 1 species
GACGAACCGAGCGAACGUUGUUCGGAAUCACUGGGCUUAAAGCGCGCGUAGGCGGCUUUGCAAGUCGGGUGUGAAAUCCCCAGGCUUAACCUGGGAACUGCAUUCGAGACUGCAUUGCUAGAGUAUGGGAGAGGGAAGUGGAAUUUCCGGUGUAGCGGUGAAAUGCGUAGAUAUCGGAAGGAACAUCAGUGGCGAAAGCGACUUCCUGGACCAAUACUGACGCUCAUGUGCGAAAGCGUGGGGAGCAAACAGG